UUACGGCCAUAUCACAUUGAAACACCGGUUCUCAUCCGAUCACCGAAGUUAAGCAACGUUGAACCUGGUCAGUACCUAAAUGGGUGACGGCACAGGAAUACCA